ACGUAAUUUAUCGAGACAACUUUGUUGAUUCCUAGACUUCUCAAGAAUUCCCGUUAUUUUAAAAGAGAGACUCCAUUCCAGAGUUACAAUAAAUUCACGAUGUGGAAGUGGCAUUCAUUGUCCAUCAGCACACUUCAACACCAUGUACUGUUUGCCUCGUUGCAUGAGACUGUUGACUGAAAAGCUCUAAACUGAUUCAAAUAUUUCAGGUUAUAUGGGAAAAAAACACCUGGAGAUUAAUUCUCAAUAUGUAGUUUCUACAUUUUCAAUAUUUUCUGUAAAACCAGAAUCAAGUCUCCACAAGAAAAUGUGCUAAAUUGAAAUGCUUUUCGCUUUUGAUAAUAGUUUCUUUUUUCUUUUGCAUUAUGACAGGUAAUGAACUCUGAAGUGAUACGCUUAGGGAGUAUGGACGUGAUGAUCAAAUCCUGCGUAAUGCAUACUGGCAUAUUGCCACGGUUGCUGUUUUUAACAAUGAUGGCAGAAGACCGCUCACUUUGAGACUAACUCCCUUGUUGGCUAAAGUGCCCAGUGGCCAGAUACAAGCCACUGACCGAGUCUUUGAUCACCAUGGGCACACCAAGGCAAAGGCUUCCAGAUUGGAUUCAGUGGGGCACUAACCAAAGGCAGGUCGUAGAUGCUGUGGAAUGGGUGGAGCACACGUUAGUUGAUGAGCACAUCCACUGACGUCUCCAUGGCAACACACCUCAAGUAAUGACACUUUGAAGUUGCACAAGGCAGCUUGAUUGCAGUUAUUCAAAAGACUGUCAGAAAAUGUUGCACAAAAACCUAUCAAUUUUGGUGCUUGAAAACUCUGCCCUAAACCUGAAUGGUCUCCAAUAGAUCGCCAUAAUCACAUACAACUUUCUUCUGACUGUUUAAAAUACCAGGUUCAAUGCAAUAUUAUGAUCUAUUUUAUUCCCCAAAUUGAAUUUGUAACCGUGUUCUUUUGUAAACGCAUUGGCUUUAACCUCAAAACUCAAAAUGAGGAGCAUAUUUCUUCAAAGAAUGUUAUGCCAAACAGGACAGAAAAUGGACACUAUGUAAUAAAAAAAGCACUUUAACACUGUCAAAGUCCAUGCAG